AACAGGACCUUCCCGGCUGCCAGAACUAAAAGAAGACCUUACCAAGAUAAUGGCUUUUAAAGCCUUUCAACGCUAGUUUCUUUAUAACAGUUAGAAUGUUUUCACGAUGACACACUGAACACUUGAGAGACAAACCGGAGAGGAGAGCAAGCUGUCCUGUAUGCCCCGCCCUGUCUCUCAAAGAGUGGUGAAUUCUCCCAAAUGGUCAAACACUAACAGCCGAUCAGAAUCCAAGUCUGAGUGUGUGAACUGUUUAAGCCCCGCCUAUUCAGGUGAAGACAUCAAGGCGGAAUCUAUGAUGGACAGCUCAAAUUACAGAAGGGUGGAGCCAAGGUUGAUUUUGUACAGAUGUGAAGACAUGUUAGAGAGGACAGAGAGGACAACUGGAUAUUUGAUGAGCAGAGAACAAGAAGACACAUUAAUCAACAUGAAGGAGGAGGAAGACGAUUGCGACAGAUGGAGUGUAAAACUUGAGAGGGAAGAUGGUGUGAGAGAUAAAGAGGGACUCUGGAAGGAAGAAGAAAAAGAGAGGGAUGAACAGAGGGAAGGACAUUUAAGUUAUCAGUUUGCCCAAACUGACAAAAUGGUGAAGAAUGGAGUAAAAUCUGAACAUGGACAACAACAAGUGGAUGAACUGUCUACUGUGGUCGCUUCCUGUCUGCUAAAACAGCCCAGAGUGCUGAUUCGGCGACUAGAAAUUGGCUAUAGUUCAGUUCCUGUGGCAUCACCUCCUUGCCCUGUUGCCUGUAAUAGCAAUCAGGAGGCGAGUUCUCCAUGGAGACGACAUGAACUCUCCCCGAACCAAUCACAGAGGCUGAAGGGUCAUCUUAAUCUUCCAUCUUCAUCAGAGAAUGGGAUCUGUGCGGAAACCUCCCUUAUUCCUCCUGUCAUCUCACCAAGGAACCAAAACACAGAAGAAACAGUUCAGGUGUUGUCUGGGGUCUUUGCCUGCUCCCAGUGCCCAUUCGUUCACACAGAGGAAAUUAAUCUUCACCAGCACAUUGAGAAGGUUCACCCAGAGCAGUUCAGCAGGACUGUGGGGUCCCAACAGCCUCCCAGCAGUACACAUCAGCACCCCACUCCCCCUAAGACACUCCCCAGCCCAACACAGUCCCACACAGGAACUCCAAGGGCCUACUCAUGCACCCAGUGUGAGAAGAGUUUUAGUCAAUUGGGUAAUUUGAAGAAACACCAGCGAACCCAUACAGGGGAACGGCCAUUCCACUGCUCUGACUGUGGGAAGAGUUUUGCGCGGUCAGAUUACCUGAAGCUACACCAAAAAACUCAUUCAGGGGUACGACCAUACCUCUGCUCUGAGUGUGGUAAGAGUUUCCAUUAUUCGAGUCGUUUGAAGCUACACCAGCGAACCCACACAGGAGAACAACCGUACCACUGCUCCCAGUGUGAGAAGAGUUUCAAUAAAUUGAGUAUUUUUCACACACAUCAGCGAACCCAUACAGGGCAACGGCCAUACCUCUGCUCCCAGUGUGGUAAGGGUUUCCAUUAUUUGAGUCGUUUGAAGGCACACCAGCGAACACAUACGGGGGAACGACCAUACCAGUGCUCCCAGUGUGAGAAGAGUUUUGCUCUGUUGGAUUACCUGAAGCAACACCAAAAAACUCAUACAGGGGAACGACCAUACCACUGUUCCCAAUGUCAGAAGAGUUUCAAUAAAUUAUGUAAAUUGCAGACACACCAGCGGAUCCAUACAGGGGAACGGCCAUACCCCUGCUCCCAGUGUGGUAAAAGUUUCCUUCAUUUGUGUCAUUUGAAGCUACACCAGCGAACCCAUACAGGGGAACGACCAUACCACUGCUUGCAGUGUGAGAAGAGGUUCCUUCAUUUGAGUAGUUUGAAGGCACACCAGCAAACCCAUACUGGGGAACGACCAUACCACUGCUCCCAGUGUGAGAAGAGUUUCGCUCGGUCGGAUUACCUGAAGCUACACCAAAGAAUUCAUACAGGGGAACGUCCAUACCACUGCUCACAGUGUGGUAAGAGUUUCCAUUAUUCGAGUCAUUUGAAGCUACACCAGCAAACCCAUACAGGGGAACAACCGUACCACUGCUCGCAGUGUGAGAAGAGGUUCCUUCAUUUGAGUCGUUUGAAGGCACACCAGCAAACCCAUACUGGGGAACGACCAUACCACUGCUCCCAGUGUGAGAAGAGUUUUGCUCGGUCGGAUUACCUGAAGGUACACCAAAAAACUCAUAUAGGGGAAGGGCCAUACCACUGCUCUCAGUGUGAGAAGAGUUUCUUUCAUUCGAGUCGUUUGAAGCGACACCAGCGAACCCAUACAGGGGAACGACCACACCUCUGCUCCGAGUGUGGUAAGAGUUUCCAUUAUUUGAGUCGUUUGAAGCUACACCAGCGUACCCAUACAGGGGAACGACCAUACCACUGCUCCCAGUGUGAGAAGAGGUUCCUUCAUUUGAGUCGUUUGAAGGCACACCAGCGAACCCAUACAGGGGAACGACCAUACCACUGCUCCCAGUGUGAGAAGAGUUUUGCUCGGUCAGAUUACCUGAAGCUACACCAAAAAACUCAUACAAGGGAACGACCAUACCACUGCUCCCAGUGUGAGAAGAGUUUCAGUAAAUUGAGUAAUUUGCAGACUCACCAGCGAACCCAUACAGGGGAACGGCUAGAUGAGCUACACACUCAGAAUGGUCAGGUUGUGACCUGGGAGAGUAAAACGGUUGGCCAGUUGGUGAGACCCCUGAAACUGUCGCCAUCUUCUUCAGAGAAUGGAAUCUGUGCUGAAACCUCCCUUAUUUCUCCUGUCAUCUCCCCCGGGAAACAAAAUACAGGACACACUGUUGAGGUGUCAUCUCAGGUGUUUGCCUGCUCCCAGUGCCCAUUCAUUGACACAGAGGAAGUGAAUCUUCACCAGCACAUUGAGAAGGUUCACCCAGAGGAUUUCAGCAGGACUGUGGGGUCCCAACAGCCUCCCAGCAGCACACAUCAGCACCCCACCCCCCCUAAGACACUCCCCACCCCAACACAGUCCCACAAAGGCACUCCAGGGGCCUACUCAUGCACCCAGUGUGGGAAGAGUUUUAGUCAGUUAGGUAAUUUAAAGAAACACCACCGAACCCAUACAGGGGAACGACCAUACCACUGCUCGCAGUGUGAGAAGAGUUUUGCUCGGUCAGAUUACCUAAAGCUACACCAAAAAACUCACACAGGGGAGCGAGUAUAUCUCUGUUCACAGUGUGGUAAGAGUUUCCAUCAGUUGAGUAGUUUUAAGCUUCACCAGAGAACCCAUUCAGGGGACUUGCCAUACCACUGCUCCCAGUGUGGUAAGAAUUUCCUUCAUUUGAGUCGUUUGAAGCUACACCAGCGAACCCAUACAGGGGAACGACCAUACCACUGCUCCCAGUGUGAGAAGAGUUUUGCUCGGCCGGAUUACCUGAAGCUACACCAAAAAACUCAUUCAGGGGUACGACCAUACCUCUGCUCCCAGUGUGGUAAGAGUUUCCAUUAUUUGAGUCGAUUGAAGGCACACCAGCGAACCCAUACAGGGGAACGACCAUACCAUUGUUCCCAGUGUGAGAAGAGCUUCAAUAAAUUGAGUAAUUUACAGACACACCUGCGAACCCAUACAGGGGAAAGACCAUACCUCUGCUCCCAGUGUGGUAAGAGUUUCCAUUCUUUGAGUCGUUUGAAGGCACACCAGCGAACCCAUACAGGGGAACGACCGUACCACUGCUCACAGUGUGAGAAGAGUUUUGCUCGGUCAGAUUACCUGAAGUUGCACCAAAAAACUCAUACAGGGGAACGGCCGUACCACUGCUCCCAGUGUGGUAAGAGUUUCCAUUAUUUGAGUCGUUUGAAGGCACACCAGCAAACCCAUAUAGGGGAACAACUGUACCACUGCUCCCAGUGUGAGAAGAGUUUCAAUAAAUUGAGUAUUUUGCAGAGACACCAGCGAACCCAUCUUGGGCAACGGCCAUACCUCUGCUCCCAGUGUGGUAAGAGUUUCCAUUAUUUAAGUCGUUUGAAGGCACACCAGCGGACCCAUACAGGAGAACGACCAUACCACUGUUCCCAGUGUGAGAAGAGUUUUGCUCUGUUGGAUUACCUGAAGCAACACCAAAAAACUCAUACAGGGGAACGACCGUACUGCUGCUCCCAUUGUGAGAAGAGUUUCAGUAAAUUGAGUAGUUUACAAGCACACCAGCGAACCCAUACAGGGGAAAGGCCAUAUGAGCUACACAUGCAGAAUGGUCUUGUUUUGACCUGGAAGAGAAAAUCGGUUGGCCAGUUGGUGAGACCCCUGAAACUGCUGCCAUCUUCUUCAGAGAACGGAAUCUGUGCUGAAACCUCCCUUAUUUCUCCUGUCAUCUCCCCCAGGAAACAAAAUACAGGUGCAGAUCACACAGGACAAACUGAUGAGGUGUCGUCUCAGGUCUUUGCCUGUUCCCAGUGCCCAUUCGUUCACACAGAGGAAGAGAAUGUUCACCAGCACAUUGAGAAGGUUCACCCAGAGGAGCUCAGCAGGACACUGGAGUCCCAACAGCUUCCCAGCAGCAUACAUCAGCACCCCACCCACACAGGCACUCCAGGGGCCCGUACAUGCGCCCAGUGUGGGAAGAGCUUCACUAAGUUAAUUCAUUUGAAGCUGCACCAGCUAACCCAUACAGGAGAACGACCAUACCACUGCUCCCAGUGUAAGAAGAGUUUCCUUCAUUCAAGUCGUUUGAAGGCACACCAGCUAACCCAUACAGGGGAACGACCAUACCACUGCUCCCAGUGUCAGAAAAGUUUUGCUCGGUCGGAUUACCUGAAGCUACACCAAAAAACUCAUACAGGGGAACGGCCAUACCACUGCUCCCAGUGUGGUAAGAGUUUCCAUUAUUUGAGUCGUUUGAAGCUACACCAGCGUACCCAUACAGGGGAACGAUUAUACCACUGCUCCCUGUGUCAGAAGAGUUUCCUUCAUUCGAGUCGUUUGAAGGCUCACCAGCGAACCCAUUCAGGGGAACGACCAUACCACUGCUCUGAGUGUAAGAAGAGUUUUGCUCGGUCGGAUUACCUGAAGCUACACCAAAAAACUCAUACAGGGGAACGGCCAUACCACUGCUCCCAGUGUGGUAAGAGUUUCCAUUAUUUGAGUCGUUUGAAGCUACACCAGCGUACCCAUACAGGGGAAAGACCAUACCACUGCUCCAAGUGUGAAAAGAGUUUCAAUAAAUUGAGUAAUUUGCAGACUCACCAGCGAACCCAUUCAGGAGAACGGCCAUACCACUGCUCCCAAUGUGGUAAGAGUUUCAAUUAUUCAAGUCGUUUGAAGCUACACCAGCGAACUCAUACAGGGGAACGACCAUACCACUGCUCCCAGUGUGGGAAGAGUUUCUUUCAUUCGAGUCAUUUGAAGGCACACCAGCGAACCCAUACAGGGGAACGACCAUACCACUGCUCCCAGUGUGAAAAGACUUUUGCUCGGUCAGACUACCUGAAGCUACACCAAAAAACUCAUACAGGGGAACGACCAUACCACUGCUCCCAGUGUGGUAAGAGUUUCCUCCAUUCAAGUCGUUUGAAGCUACACCAGCAAACGCAUACGGGGGAACGCCCGUACCACUGCUCUGCCUGCGAGAAGAGUUUUGCUCGUUCUGAUUACCUGAAGCUACACCAAAAAACUCAUACAGGGGAACGACCAUACCACUGCUCCCAGUGUGGUAAGAGGUUCCAUUAUUUGAGUCGUUUGAAGCUACACCAGCGAACCCAUACAGGGGACCAACUAUAUAAGCUACACAUGCAGAAGGGUCAGACUGUGACCAGGAAGAGGAAAACUGUGGGCCAGUUGGUGAGACCCCUGACACUGCCGCUGUCUUCUUCAGAGAAUGGGAUCUGUGAUGAAACCCCCCUUAUUUCUCCUGUUAUCUCCCCCAGGAAACAAGAUACAAGUGCAGAUCACACAGAACCAACUGUUGAGGUGUUGUCUCAGGCCUUUGCCUGCUCCCAGUGCCCAUUUGUACACACAGAGGAAGUGAAUCUUCACCAGCACAUUGAGAAGGUUCACCCAGAGGAGCUCGGCAGGACUAUGGGGUCCCAACAGCCUCCCAGCAGCACAUAUCAGCACCCCACCCCCCUCUAAGACACUCCCCACCCCAAUACAGUCCCACACAGGCACUCCAGGGGCCUACUCAUGCACCCAGUGUGUGAGAGUUUUAGUCAGUUGGGUAAUUUGAAGAAACACCAGCAAACUCAUGCAGGGGAAAGCUCGUACCAUGGCGCUGACUGAGAAGAGUUUUCCCGGUCGGAUCACUGAAGCUACACCAAAAAACUACAGGGGAAUAGCUAUACCACUGCUCUGAGUGUUGUGAAUCUGUGCUGUAUCCUCUCUUAUUUCUCCUGUCAUCUCUCCCAGGAAACAAAAUACAGGUGUGGAUCACACAGCUCCUGCACUCUGUCUUUCUCCUCAGUACAAACUGCUGAGGUGUCGUCUCAGGUCUUUGCUUGCUCCCAGUGCCCAUUCCUUCACACAGAGGAAGUGAAUCUUCACCAGCACAUUGAGAACGUUCAUCCAGGAGAGCUCCCAACAACCCUCCCAGCAGCACACAUCAGCACACCACCCCCCAACCCCCCCCCCCCCCCGAAAGACACUCCCCACCUGGCACUCCCCUAAAAUGGGGGGAGACUAUGUAUAAAAAUGGAUAUAAUUCUUACACGGAUCACCCAAUAUGGAUGUAAAUACCUUCAAAUUAAAGGUGACAGUCUGUACUUCAUAUUCAUUGUUUAAUUUCAAAACCCGGAAUGAAAUGUGCUGGAGUACAAAAGUACAGAAAUUGUAUUGCUGUCCAAAUUUGUAUGGACCGCACUGUAUGCCAUAAUGGAGGAAGUCAAAAAAAGUGGCAAAUACUUUUUCACAGUAGUGUAUAUACAUUGAUAUAUUCUGUCCUAUUCAACAGUGCUUGUUAUCUUCUAUCUGAUGAGGGCGGGUUGAGUAACCAUGUGCGUCACCAAGAUAUCACAGGCCAGUCUUAACAUAUACAUGCAUUGAGCAAAAAGAGUAUGUAGCUGGAUGGUGGGAAACAAACUUUUACUUUUCUACCGAAUGAGGUGGUUGAUAACAUACAUGGUGGUUGAUGACACAUGAUUGCACAAGCCUCUCUUAGAUGGUAAAAAGGAUCUCUGUAAAUAGUUGUAAUCUGCAGUUGCAGAAAUAAAGACUCUUAUAAUUGG